rnacentral:rRNA from 1 species
AGCGAACGCUGGCGGCAGGCCUAACACAUGCAAGUCGAACGGACCCUUCGGGGUUAGUGGCGGACGGGUGAGUAACACGUGGGAACGUGCCUUUAGGUUCGGAAUAGCUCCUGGAAACGGGUGGUAAUGCCGAAUGUGCCCUUCGGGGGAAAGAUUUAUCGCCUUUAGAGCGGCCCGCGUCUGAUUAGCUAGUUGGUGAGGUAACGGCUCACCAAGGCGACGAUCAGUAGCUGGUCUGAGAGGAUGACCAGCCACACUGGGACUGAGACACGGCCCAGACUCCUACGGGAGGCAGCAGUGGGGAAUCUUGCGCAAUGGGCGAAAGCCUGACGCAGCCAUGCCGCGUGAAUGAUAAAGGUCUUAGGAUUGUAAAAUUCUUUCACCGGGGACGAUAAUGACGGUACCCGGAGAAGAAGCCCCGGCUAACUUCGU